AUCAGGGUUAUCUUGUGCAGGGUGGUGAAAGGGGAAAGCCUGGGAGGACAGGUACCCUCCAAGGGAUGAGGCAAUGCCUGGGAAACAGCAAGACCCUACUAAGCAACCUGGCUUUUGAUCCCCAAAAGUACAUAAAAUAAGGGAUAUGUAAAAGCAAACCCCAAGAAAUGCUGAAAAUGUUGAUGUCUGUCUUCUCUCGUUUUUGGUUUUUUUUUUCAAGGAGUGGCGGAUAACACAGUGUGUUGUGGACCAGAAGAUCCAUAAGGGUGCCCAAGAAGAUGUGGAAGCUCCUGUGGAUUUCUAAUGAGCAAUGUUGAGUCUGGCUAAGCUAUGAGAUUAUGAGAUCUCAAGGCAUCUGUCCCUUCAGACAACAUCGUAAAAAUCUUCUCAUUUCAGAGUUACAGCAACUGGACAAUACGGGCAGCAGUGCCAAGCCGGGGAUUUGAAUAACAGCAUGCACGUCUUACAAGGAAAACAUGGAAGCGGCGCGUUCAUCGCUCCUUGCGACAGCCGUGUGUCUCCUCGGAGGUGCGGAGGGACAGAGAUUACAGGCACAGACCUGCAGGAAGAGGGAUUUGAUCUCCCAGACAGUGGUCUGCUUGACAAAGCUGCCAAACUAACAUUUCUCAGCGGUACAGGACCCUCCUCCCUCUGCUACGAAAUGUCAGGCUUUGGCACCUGCAGAGUACCUUGCUACUUUGAAAUGGCAGCCUGGCUCUCUAAAGUGUCACCAGCGAUCCAGUCCCCAAUUAACGGCACGGGUUUGUGGGUUUCUGACACUGUUCUCAAAGCUCCUGUGGGUUGCUGCAGCCUACAAGCCAGGGAUCAUUUCUGCUUUGCAAGACUCAAAGGAGAGGAAGGGAAAAAAGCUGGGAAGGAAAGGCUACAGUUUCAUUAUUCCAUGCUAGCAGGAUAACAGAAUACAUUUCCUUUAAUACUAAAAUGUGUCAUUUGAGAAAAGAUCCUGCUGUCUGAUCAAGCUCUCCAUUAGUUAUUUUUGCAUGUGCAUGCACAAAUCCAGCAGCUAAGCCUACAGCACUGCUCUAUAUUGGAAACCAGAAAAUGCUGCAGGGUGUUUCUAAAGAAUAGCAAUUUGGAGGUUGUGGGUGGUUUGUGGGUGUAAUAAAAAAGGCUGCAUACC